GCCCGCGGCGCAUUAGCUAGUUGGGAGGUAACGGCUCACCAAGGCAACGAUGCGUAGCCGACCUGAGAGGGUGAUCGGCCACACUGGGACUGAGACACGGCCCAGACUCCUACGGGAGGCAGCAGUAGGGAAUCUUCCGCAUGGACGAAAGUCUGACGGAGCAACGCCGCUGAGUGAUGAAGGUUUUCGGUCGAAAACUCUGUGUAGGGAAGAACAAGUGCCGGAGUAACUGCCGGCACCUUGACGGACCUAACCAGAAAGCCACGGUAACUACUGCCAGC
rnacentral:rRNA from 1 species